UACAGAGGGUGCGAGCGUUAAUCGGAAUUACUGGGCGUAAAGCGCGCGUAGGCGGCUUUGCAAGUCGGGUGUGAAAUCCCCAGGCUUAACCUGGGAACUGCAUUCGAGACUGCAUUGCUAGAGUAUGGGAGAGGGAAGUGGAAUUUCCGGUGUAGCGGUGAAAUGCGUAGAUAUCGGAAGGAACAUCAGUGGCGAAGGCGGCUCUCUGGGACGGUACUGACGCUGAGACGCGAAAGCGUGGGGAGCGAACAGG
rnacentral:rRNA from 1 species